UAUUUUUCAAGUAGCUCCUUCACUCCAUGUGAAGUUCGCUUCAGUGUUUACUUGUGAUAUAGCCUUGGAAGGAAAACAUUAAAAGUGCAGUCUCAAACUCAAGAGCACUUAAGACAUUUGGAGUGCUGAGGGAUCAAACUUCAGAUUUGCCACUCACAGCUGGGGAAAGUGAAAUGACAGCAAAGCAAAGCACAGUGUUGUAAGUACACCUUACUGGGAACACCUUUACACUUGGCACUCUGCUGGUCUGGAGGCUUCAGGUGAGUCUUAACACAAUUCCAAAAUCUUCUUGGGGCGGGGGGCAUCCCAGCAAAGUGACAGCAUGCAAUGCAAAUAGCAAUACAAUUACAAAAAAUCUGAACAAGUACAGCUUGUUGGAAAAGGUUCUCAGAGAAAGCCUCUUAUCUUUAAAAAGAAGAUAACAGCACAGCUUAGCUUUGCAAAGUUUCAAACAAACAAAUCACAAGACUUACUGUGUGUAUUAUUGUAGGGUCUUUACCUUACAAUAUUAAGUGCAACAUUAUUUCAGGAGUUUUCAGUUCACUUCAAUUAUAUUCAUAUACAACAACAGUGACAACAGCUGCCUAAAGCUGUUGUCACUGUUGUUGUAUAUGAAUAUAAUUGAAGUGAACUGAAAACUCCUGAAAUAAUGUUGCUUGGACAGACAAGACCAAAAUGGAGAUGUCUGGCCAUAAUAGCACCACUUUUGGUGAAAAACUAAAACAGCAUAUCAGCACAAAACAGCUUAUGACUGAAAAGUGAUGAUUUACAUUUGUUUUGCAGCCACAGGACCUGGGCACCUUUCAGAUACUGAGUUGACCAUGAACUCCUCUGGAUCCCAAAGUAUUGGAGAGGCUAUCUAGAAUACUUAAGCUUUCCCAGAAUGGGUGGUGCAACAGGACAAUGAUCCCAAGCAUACCAGUUAAUCUCCAAAUUUACAACAGAAUAGCUGACGAAGAAAGAUAUCAAGAUGUUGCAAAGGCCCAGUCAUAGCCGAGACCUGAACCUGACUGAAAUGCUGUGGUGGGAUCUGAAGAGAGCUGUGCAUGAAUGCCUGCUCUCCAUUACAGGUUUCCUACGAAACAACAGGAAGCAGAACCACAGGUACGACGGACUGAGGUACACAUGCUGUUCAGUUCCCCCAAAUCUAUGUUUUAUUUACAAGCAGCUCUGGCUGUACAGAAAUGUAAACCUGUCUGAUAUGUCUUAA
rnacentral:lncRNA from 1 species